UGCAAGUCGAGCGGACAGAUGGGAGCUUGCUCCCUGAUGUUAGCGGCGGACGGGUGAGUAACACGUGGGUAACCUGCCUGUAAGACUGGGAUAACUCCGGGAAACCGGGGCUAAUACCGGAUGGUUGUUUGAACCGCAUGGUUCAAACAUAAAAGGUGGCUUCGGCUACCACUUACAGAUGGACCCGCGGCGCAUUAGCUAGUUGGUGAGGUAAUGGCUCACCAAGGCAACGAUGCGUAGCCGACCUGAGAGGGUGAUCGGCCACACUGGGACUGAGACACGGCCCAGACUCCUACGGGAGGCAGCAGUAGGGAAUCUUCCGCAAUGGACGAAAGUCUGACGGAGCAACGCCGCGUGAGUGAUGAAGGUUUUCGGAUCGUAAAGCUCUGUUGUUAGGGAAGAACAAGUACCGUUCGAAUAGGGCGGUACCUUGACGGUACCUAACCAGAAAGCCACGGCUAACUACGUGCCAGCAGCCGCGGUAAUACGUAGGUGGCAAGCGUUGUCCGGAAUUAUUGGGCGUAAAGGGCUCGCAGGCGGUUUCUUAAGUCUGAUGUGAAAGCCCCCGGCUCAACCGGGGAGGGUCAUUGGAAACUGGGGAACUUGAGUGCAGAAGAGGAGAGUGGAAUUCCACGUGUAGCGGUGAAAUGCGUAGAGAUGUGGAGGAACACCAGUGGCGAAGGCGACUCUCUGGUCUGUAACUGACGCUGAGGAGCGAAAGCGUGGGGAGCGAACAGGAUUAGAUACCCUGGUAGUCCACGCCGU
rnacentral:rRNA from 1 species